rnacentral:rRNA from 1 species
UACAGAGGUCUCAAGCGUUGUUCGGAUUCAUUGGGCGUAAAGGGUGCGUAGGUGGCGCGGUAAGUCGGGUGUGAAAUUUCGGAGCUUAACUCCGAAACUGCAUUCGAUACUGCCGUGCUUGAGGACUGGAGAGGAGACUGGAAUUUACGGUGUAGCAGUGAAAUGCGUAGAGAUCGUAAGGAAGACCAGUGGCGGAAGGCGGCCUUCUGGACAGUGACUGACACUGAGACGCGAAAGCGUGGGGAGCAAACAGG